GACGAACGCUGGCGGCGUGCUUAACACAUGCAAGUCGAACGGAGUUAAGGAGCUUGCUUCUUAACUUAGUGGCGAACGGGUGAGUAACGCGUGAGGAACCUGCCUUUCAGUGGGGGACAACAGUUGGAAACGACUGCUAAUACCGCAUGAUACUAUUGAGUGGCAUCACUUGAUAGUCAAAGAUUUAUUGCUGAAAGAUGGCCUCGCGUCUGAUUAGCUAGUUGGUGGGGCAACGGCCCACCAAGGCGACGAUCAGUAGCCGGACUGAGAGGUUGACCGGCCACAUUGGGACUGAGAUACGGCCCAGACUCCUACGGGAGGCAGCAGUGGGGAAUAUUGGGCAAUGGGCGAAAGCCUGACCCAGCAACGCCGCGUGAAGGAAGAAGG
rnacentral:rRNA from 1 species